rnacentral:lncRNA from 1 species
GAAUACUUCUCAGAAGACUAUACCAAAGGGCAUGAGAGUUACAUAAAUUUGCUCCUGUGCCAGUGAGGGAAGCAAGUUUUCCUUAUCAGGGUAUCAUUGCAACCUGUGUAUCUGCUCUACCUGUACCUAUGUAUGCACCACAGUAUGUCAAAAUACUGAAAAGAAAGGGUGUCAGCCUGCCCAUUUAUUGAGUCUGAGCUCAUCACAGAAAGAUGGAUGUCUCAUUGUCAUUCCAGACCAUACAAGCGGCAUGUUGGUGCAAUGAUGCUGAGAUGUUACUUUCAAUAUCAUACCAGAGACUGAAAUAAACAGGCAAUGCUGGCAGGUCUGGCUGCA